CUGACUGCAGAGAGGAUGACAGAGAACAGUGGAAACACAGUUUAACAUGAUGGACUAUAGGACAGGACUGCUGCUGUUAACUAUCUGCUGGGCAGGUGUUGAUGGUCAGACUCUGACAGAAUCUGAACCAGUGGUUAAAAGGCCUGGAGAAUCUCACAGAUUGACCUGUACAGCCUCUGGAUUCACAUUCAGCAGCUAUCAUAUGAACUGGGUCAGACAGGCUCCUGGAAAAGGACUGGAGUGGAUCGCUUUCAUACAUACAGGCAGUUCUCACAUCUAUUACUCCCAGUCAGUCCAGGGUAGAUUCACCAUCUCCAGAGAUGACUCCAGCAGUAAACUCUAUCUACAGAUGAACAGUCUGAAGACCGAGGACACAGCAGUGUAUUACUGUGCCAGAUGAGACACAGUGAGAGACAAUAACAGAAGAGUCAU